CCACGCGCGCCGCGUCUAUUUGCCGCAUCGCCACCGUGUAGUCACAACUCUUGUAAACGCGAUCUCACGCGAACAAAAUUGUGAAAGUGUUGCAUAUAAAACGCGAUUUCUCGACAGCGAGAGUACCGCGCCUAAGGCAUUUUAAACAAAUAGUGUUGGUAGGAGUGUGAAUUGAAAUUGUGAACUUGGUAGAGGGUUCAAUGGAAGCGAGGUUCGUGACCUGCCGGAGCUUCCAGCAGAUCAAGCCGCCUGAGAAGAGCCUAGCGCCGCCGCCGACGGUGAAGGGGCUGCUGUCUCGUUUCGGAAGCCAGGCACAAGCUCUCUUCGCGCCGAAGAAACCCCGCUUCGGAUCUUCGGUAGCGAUCCACAAGCUCCGUGAAACCAAGUGGUUUAAACAUGAAGAGCAAAACAUCUUGUGUGCAGUUCUGGAGACCGGAUUCAUUCUCGAAGUCCGAGCGGAGGACCCGCUACCACCAGACUCCUGUCUUUCUCCAGACUACCAUAUGUACGCCAUUGCCAUGUGGAAGAAGGGUAAAGAAAAAACAAAAAACCCGGAACAGAUAGAGGUGUACACGGUCCAACAGAAAGGUGUAAGAAAACGUGUUGUGAAGACAACUCUGGGUGCAUUCUGGAAGAAGGACUCAGUGAUCCGCAUCAACAAUGUGGACGACAAACAGGAAUCGCCGAACAGCGAAAAGGAUAUUCGAGCAAAGCUGGACAUGGCCACUAAAUCCAGGUUCGAGAGGAACUGGCAUAAUACCCUGCACUUCGUCCACUGGUGCCGAUACGGGGAGACACCUCAAGAAGCUCGCAUGAGACAGAUCAGCUUAACGACGUCGAAAACACCCAUGAUUAUCAUCUUUUGAUGGUAAUCGUUGAGGCGCUUUGGACUCUCAGCUGGCAACCUUAAGACACCGAUAAGCGAGUCGCUCAAAUGGGGUAACAUCGGAAUGAACAUGGGCGUUAUGCUCGUCAGCCAAAACAACGCCCGGGCCAAGGCGAAGUCGGUCUGAGUGCCGGCCGCCAGCGACACCGCUGGCAACACCUGCUUCUGCUUCUGGCCACCGAGAAACAUUGACCAUGUUUAAAUUAGGAACGCAGCUCAAUUCGGUUCCUUUUUUGGAUUUUAUGUUUAAAAUUGGAACGAAGCAUUGGAGCUCUCAGUUUGGUUCCUUUUGUUGAUGUUCUUUUAAUGGCAGUAUACAUCGUCGGUGUUUAAAUUCGGAACGCAGCAAUAGAACUCUCGAUUCGUAUAGUUCCUUUUUGAACUUUAAAUCUUCAGUUUUCAAGCUCUAUUGCAGUUCCCUUUUUAUAAAAAAAGGUAUUUUUAACAACUGCUAGAAUUUGGAAACAUUGGAGGUGCUUGAAAAAGUUUCGAGCUCUCAAUUUAGUUUCUUUAUUUGAAUAUCAAACUUUUUAACAGCCAGUAUCUGGUAACAUUGACGGAGUUUAAAUUUAGAACAAGUAUUUCGAGCGUGUUUCCUUUUCGGGCUUCAAUUGUUUAUUUUUACCAACUUCCAGUAUUUGGCUACUUGACGCUUUUAGAACGCGUCUUCGGAGCUCUUCAGUUCCUUUUUUGAAUUUAAACGUUUUUUUAAUGACUGCCAGUAUGUCGCUCCACGGAUGGGAAGCUUUAAUUUUAUUAGAAUUUUGUGAAAAAAACGUUUCAGACAUUCCUGAACUAAGACAGACCCGUGAUUAACUGUUGACAUAUUUUCUAACCUAUAAUAUAACUGUUUAAUUAUGUCUAUAGUAAAAUAGACUAUAAUUUAUAGAGAUAUCUUGUUGGUCUGGGAUGAUACCCUAGUCUUAUGUCUUGAGUAUAUGUAAACGUUCAUUUCUGAUCGAAAAAGACUGUUCUGUUUUUUGUAAGAAAAUUAUAAAACCGACUAUGAACUUGAAAUAUUUGACUGCUGUUUUUUGAAAUCUAACUAUUCCUUUAUAGACUUGUGUAGACCGUUCAUAAUUGUUAAACAUAUAUAUUCUAUUCAUAGUCGGGUAAAGUAACGAGAGUAUUUUGGCGAAGUAUGAGAGUAUUUAUAUUUAUUUAUACCUGCAUACUAGGCCUAAUGUUUUUAAGAGUAUUGUAAUUUAAAUGUCCUAUUUAUAAUGAAGCAUUUUUAUAAAUAAAUAAGUACAAGAUA